rnacentral:rRNA from 1 species
CGGGAAUAUUGCACAAUGGAGGAAACUCUGAUGCAGUGACGCCGCGUACAGGAAGAAGGUCUUUGGAUUGUAAACUGUUGUCGAAAGGGAAGAAAAAAGACAGUACCUUUGGAGGAAGCUCCGGCAAACUACGUGCCAGCAGCCGCGGUAAUACGUAGGGAGCGAGCGUUAUCCGGAUUUAUUGGGUGUAAAGGGCGCGUAGACGGUAUAACAAGUUGGUUGUGAAAUCCCGAGGCUCAACUUCGGAACCGCAACCAAAACUGUUUAACUUGAGUAUGGGAGAGGAAAGCGGAAUUCCUAGUGGAGCGGUGAAAUGCGUAGAUAUUAGGAGGAACACCAGUGGCGAAGGCGGCUUUCUGGACCAUAACUGACGUUGAGGCGCGAAAGUGUGGGGAGCAAACAGGAUUAGAUACCCUGGUAGUCCACACCGUAAACGAUGGAUACUAGGUGUAGGAUGGAUUAAACCGUUCUGUGCCGGCGCUAACGCAAUAAGUAUCCCACCUGAGUAGUACGACCGCAAGGUUAAAACUCAAAGGAAUUGACGGGGGCCCGCACAAGCAGUGGAGUAUGUGGUUUAAUUCGACGCAACGCGAAGAACCUUACCAGGGCUUGACAUAUACAGGAAUACUUGAGAGAUUAAGUAGUCCUUCGGGACCGGUAAACAGGUGGUGCAUGGUUGUCGUCAGCUCGUGUCGUGAGAUGUUGGGUUAAGUCCCGCAACGAGCGCAACCCCUAUUGUUAGUUGCCAGCAGGUAAAGCUGGGCACUCUAGCGAGACUGCCGUUGAUAAAACGGAGGAAGGUGGGGACGACGUCAAAUCAUCAUGCUCUUUAUGUCCUGGGCUACACACGUACUACAAUGGCAAGUACAGAGGGAAGCGAAACCGCGAGGUGGAGCAAAACCCAAAAAGUUGCCUCAGUUCAGAUUGUAGGCUGCAACUCGCCUAUAUGAAGAUGGAAUUGCUAGUAAUUGCAGGUCAGCAUACUGCAGUGAAUACGUUCUCG